ensembl:lncRNA
AGCACAAAAUUAGCCUGGGAUGAACGCGUAACACAAUUACAUGCUGUUAAUACCAUCAAAGAGGCAUUUGUGGCGCCUGUUGUGGCCUUUGCAGCUUAACUGGCCUAAUUUGGAAAAAAUGUCACAGUCCUUUCAGAAAAGGUGACGGUUAAACAUUUCUCAGAGGUCAAGCUGCUGUAACUUUUUCUCCAUGAUUAUUGCCUACAUCAAACAAUUCUGCACAAAACAGCUACGAGGAUAUAGUCUGUAUAUCCUCCAGUACGACUUCCAGGAGCAAAAGAUGGACAUUGAAACGUCUGCAGUGAAUGUUAGCGUCUCAGAUCAUGUCGGAGGCUGCAGUUUCACUGACACACUAAUGUUCAUCUUCUCCGUGGUUGGGUGUGGACGUUGAGCCUUAAACUGCAGUUCAAGGCUGGAAUACAAAGCUUCUCAAAGGGAUACCAUCACACCGGAACAAACAUUUGGGUUGCAGGGCCUCAAGCAAAAAAUGUUUGAACUUUUUGGAGUAACUCUUCUCUUUUAUGUCUCUAAUAUUAGUACAUUUCAUUUGAAUUGGCAGGAACAAUAUGUUUGGUGAAUAGAACUGAAUGUAACACAAGGACUGGGUAACAUUCUGGUCAGAUAAGCAUUUGAAAUAAUCCCAAAUGGGGGAAGAUACUUGCAUCCAACUUGCAAAUUGCAUGCAUGCAUGAAAAAUAUUAUCAUAUUAGCUGUGUCCAAAGAGGCCAAAUGCCACAUUUGGAUGCUCUUGAGGUAUACUGUAACAGAAUGAUGACUUGUGGUCCAAAUACCUUACAUCAGAUGAAGCUGAAAGUUCAUUCCCUACCUAAAAAUAACUCUUAUUGUCUUCCAGAGUGGAUUCAGUUUGUACAUAUCACGUAAUGUGCUGUUGAAAACUUUGGAAAAAGCCAGAAAGUGGCUUUUGUGGUCAAAACUGCAUUAUUUUUCUCAGGAAAAAAAAUUAAAAUCAUCAUUCAAUAUCACUGUGAAAACUAUAAAAUGGAUGACCAAGCAAGUACUAGAACAUUUUCCAGCUUGCACAAAUAAAUAAUAAUAGUAUUUGGUUACGCUAACUGGGGUCUCAUCUGGGAGAAGAACAAGAACAUUUAAUAAAUUACAUUUCUACGAGGAACUUAGGUUAAACUAAAGUCUGUCUUUAGGGAAACUGUGAACUAUAAAUCUGUGCUGAGUUGGUGUCACUUCCCCACUCUAAUAAAACAAUCACUGUGCAAGGUGGUUCUGACCUUUGCCCCUCACUACGCUACUUCACUGUUGCUUGUAAAACUGAGGCACGUUGUCCUGGUUGAUUGUACGUAUCUCUGUUCUUCUAACAUCUGCUCAAUGUGUAAAAUGUAAAGUAACUCUGCUACAACACCUCCAACAGUGCCCUUCACUAAAAAUAGCCCAUUUAUUCAUCCUCAUCCAACCGGCGUGAUUGCACAUUUCCUUCUUUUGUGAAAAACCACCACAAACAAGUGCUCAUAUUCUCCAAAGUGGAGGCUGUUUAAUCCGUUGUGACAGCUGCUCUGGCUGUGGUCGGUGGCCAGUGAGUGCUCCAGCUGUGUUAAGAGUUAAAAUAGUCUUGCAGCUGCGUGUUGGCAUUAAAUGGUGGAGCGAUCCCAUUUAACCAGUGCCCAUGUAAACCACACACGCUUUCCACAUAGUUGAAAUUCAAUGGCUCUUCUCUCUUUUCAUGUUCUCACUAAACCUUGUGUUUCAGCUCUUUUUGGCCUCACGGACAAUUCACCCUUCAAUCAGGAGACGGAGCAGGGAUAUCUCAAUGCAUCCCUUUUUUGUUUUCAUUUUAAAUGAUAAAAAUCAGACCCUUUCUAUGAAUGUAAUUGGAUGCAAUCAAAUAUGAAAACUGACGUAGAACUUCUGUGUUUAAGGAAAGCUGGAGCAGAGGUGACGUACUGACUGUCUUACACUAGCCCGGUCCCUUUGGUGCAGGUGUGUUUGGUGGUACAUCCACGUGGAACAUGUGCCACAGCAGCUGCUCCCAAAAG